rnacentral:piRNA from 1 species
UUGAUACUCAUGAUCUUUUCU